UACAGAGGGGGCAAGCGUUAUUCGGAAUUAUUGGGCGUAAAGCGCGCGUAGGCGGCCCUGUAAGUCCGUUGUGAAAGUCAAAGGCUCAACCUUUGAAAGCCGAUGGAUACUGCAGGGCUAGAGUCCGGAAGAGGCGAGUGGAAUUCCUGGUGUAGCGGUGGAAUGCGCAGAUAUCAGGAGGAACACCAAUAGCGAAGGCAGCUCGCUGGGACGGUACUGACGCUAAGGCGCGAAAGCGUGGGGAGCGAACAGG
rnacentral:rRNA from 1 species